UUAAACUCCAGCAGAAUAAAAUUAUUGAAAACACAACAGUCUCAUUCUAUAGAAGAAAAUCCAACAUUUAUUAUCUCAUCAUCACAAAAGGGAAAAAAAAAAAAAAUCAUUCCAAGAAUCCCCUUGCUACCAUUAAGUCACUACCUCAAGUUUUCACUUUGUCUAUCUCUUUUCAGACAGUUUCAAUAUAGAAAAAGGUGUGAAAUUCAAUCCGACUUUCUAUCACUGAUUCACCACCACCACCUGCAUGGUUGUGUAGUGUUGUAUCUCUCUCAAAAUCUUCCAUACCUUUCAUGCUAGUGAUAGAUCACAUCCAAGAAUUGAAGAGAUAUUAGGAAAGGUAAGAGAAUUGUCAGCCAGGAUCAAGGGAGCUGGAUAUGUUCCCGAUAAGGGGUGUGUUUUACAUGAUGUUGAUGAUGAGCAGAGAGAGUUGCUGCUGCUGCUUGGUCACAGUGAAAAACUAGCUUUGGCAUUCGGUUUAUCGAAGAGAAGCAUCUCUGUGGGACGAAGGACGAUAUGAUAAUAUUGUUGAUGGAAAGUGCUCAUGUGGAGACUACUGGUGAAGGGUGUAAGAUAAUCAUACAAAAGGUGGAUUUUAUACCAUUUUGUCUCUAGAGUGUAUGCUUGGAUAAUGUAGAGACCCUAUGAAAUGGUAACAGUUAUGUGGGAACCUGGGUAAGCACAGAUUUUGUCACCACUCAGCAUCAAGAAAAGAUACACUUUGAUUUGUGGGGCUGGGAGGAGGGAGGAUCCAUAGUUGCUCAAAAGUUAUCUUAUGUAAUAUGUAGUGUUGUUUACCAUUGGGAAAGCAGCUAUGGGCAAAGAAGAUAGAAAAAGCAACUAGGGGCGUGAACUUGUUGCUUUUUAAUGACUUUCACGUACAUGCUGAAAGAAGUUGGUCGAGGAGUUUCCAAGGACAUUUUAACCACUUAAGAGCUGAGGAGGAUAUCCUGAGAGGGGGUUGACCAGCAUAAUCUCAUAGUUAUUGCAUCUGAUGGUUGUAUCAUUUCCUGCGGAGGAGUUCCUUGUUCUCCAUGAAGCGCAGAUACUGAUCCUUGACACUGGACCGCAUAACAUUUCUCUUGAACUAUCAUAUGUGAUAAAAAAUUAAGAUGCAAAGUUUCAAUCAACUGUUCUUGGCAGACAACAGCAUGAAGACUGUUCAUUGUGUGGAGUUGCUGAGACGAAUACAAGCCAGCUUUGCAUAUGCCGGAGGUUGGACUUCUAUGGAAGCACCCCUGUUAGCUCAGCUUAUUUGAAGUUGAGAUGAGCAAUUGUUUAUAUUUUAGCUAUAAAGCUUUUCAAGAAGUGAUACUUUUGGAUUUUUUUUUUUAAUAGUUCAAUUUCCUUUACUAAGCA